AGCUGCCGACUGGUUCAGAGUUGUGGCCAAGCUCCAAGAGUGCCCUCUGACCGGAGUGAAGAGCGUGGUCGCCGUUUAUGUCUUCUUCAAUGAGCUGAGUAUCACCGUCACUGACAGACAGGAGACCUGGGUCAAUGGUAAAAAGGUUAAUGACCCCAGCCUGCCAGGAAAUAAUAUCUUUGUGAGACGUGAUGAGAAAACAGGUGAUUAUCGAGCAGAUGUCACACUUCCAGCUGUCUUACAGCAAUUCCCAGGAGCUCAUUGUUACUGUGAGUGCCAGCAUAGUGGACAACUUGUGUGGAGCAUGUGACAGAUUCAUAGCCUUCACAGACACCAUGGGCUUCACACAGUUUAUGAUACAGGAGUAUAUGGCCUCCUUUUCUGCACAGGACUUCCCUACCUGUGAGUUAUGAAGAAAAUAUCCUCUUCUCCAAACCCAGAGAUCAGUGCAACAGUAUCAUCAUCUGCAGAAAAUUCAACAAUAAAUUAG